UACGUAGGGUGCAAGCGUUAAUCGGAAUUACUGGGCGUAAAGCGUGCGCAGGCGGUUUUGUAAGUUUUGUCGUGAAAUCCCCCGGGCUCAACCUGGGGAAUGGCGAUGAAGACUGCAAGGCUAGAGUUUGGCAGAGGGGGGGUAGAAUUCCACGUGUAGCAGUGAAAUGCGUAGAUAUGUGGAGGAACACCGAUGGCGAAGGCAGCCCCCUGGGUCAAAACUGACGCUCAUGCACGAAAGCGUGGGGAGCAAACAGG
rnacentral:rRNA from 1 species